GGGCCUGUAGCUCAGUUGGUAGAGCAGUUGACUCUUAAUCAAUUGGUCGAAAGUUCGAGUCUUUCCAGGCCCACCA
rnacentral:tRNA from 1 species